ensembl:lncRNA
CAAAGGUCACCAGACUCAUCACCUUGUUUUGGGUAUCAUUGUGGACUGAUUUUAAUUCUCUAAUGAGCAUUUAAACUGGACUAAGUUCCAAAAACAUUGGGUGAAGCAUUCAACCAGAAUUGAAAUGAAUCCUCUCUCUUGGAAAGAAGGGUAAUUGGAAGUGUUCAAAGUUUUUGGAACAGCAAUUGACUGGAAAGAAGAGGGGAGCAUGUUGUCAGUCCAGAUGCUGAAGAAUUAAUUUUGUGUUCUGGUGUCUCAGACAAUGGGAAGAUUUCCAUUACAAGUAGAAGAGAAGAGAAUUGUGUGGCACUGAAUUCACGUAUAAAGGAAUGGCCUGGACAGAAACAGAAUACUACCCUGGUGACAAUCAAGUGUCCAUCAAAACAGGCACAACUGUGAUUAACCAAAUGCAACAUGGAUUUAAACAGUUU